GAUGAACGCUGGCGGCGUGCCUAAUACAUGCAAGUCGAGCGAACGGACGAGAAGCUUGCUUCUCUGAUGUUAGCGGCGGACGGGUGAGUAACACGUGGAUAACCUACCUAUAAGACUGGGAUAACUUCGGGAAACCGGAGCUAAUACCGGAUAAUAUUUUGCACCACAUGGUUGAAAAGUGAAAGACGGUCUUUCUGUAACUUCUCGAUGGAUCCGCGCUGCAUUAUCUAGUUGGUAAGGUAACGGGUUACCAAGGGAACGAUGCAUAGCCGACCUGAGAGGCGGAUCGGCCACACUGGAACUGAGACACGGUCCAGACUCCUACGGGAGGCAGCAGUAGGGAAUCUUCCGCAAUGGGCGAAAGCCUGACGGAGCAACGCCGCGUGAGUGAUGAAGGUCUUCGGAUCGUAAAACUCUGUUAUUAGGGAAGAACAUAUGUGUAAGUAACUGUGCACAGCUUGACGGUACCUAAUCAGAAAGCCACGGCUAACUACGUG
rnacentral:rRNA from 1 species